AAGAAUAUUUUUAGAUUAUGAGAAGAUUUUUAGGUGAAAUAAUUAAAGAUGACAACAAACAUCCCCUCCUCUCUCUCAAUUUUAUUAUUUUUUUUCCAGCCAAAAUUCGCAUUGUGUCUUCUGUAUGUAGAUACUUCCCAUCGUUUGUUGUUAGCUAUUUUCGUUUGCAGAUUGGAUUGACUUUGUUUGUUCUUUGAAAAAUUGCUUUUGGUGUUGAGAUUCGAUUCAUCUGGUUUACAAUUAGCAAGGUAUGUCUUAAUUAAAUUUUAC
rnacentral:lncRNA from 1 species